rnacentral:rRNA from 1 species
AGUGAGGAAUAUUGGUCAAUGGGCGGAAGCCUGAACCAGCCAUGCCGCGUGCAGGAUGACGGCUUUCUGAGUUGUAAACUGCUUUUAUACAGGAGGAACCCUGCUACUUGUAGCAGCCUGACAGUACUGUAUGAAUAAGCACCGGCUAACUCCGUGCCAGCAGCCGCGGUAAUACGGAGGGUGCGAGCGUUAUCCGGAUUUAUUGGGCUUAAAGGGUGUUCAGGCGGGAGUCUAAGUCAGCGGUGAAAUGUCCGCGCUCAACGCGGGAGCUGCCGCUGAUACUGGAUUUCUUGAGAGAAUAUGGCGCCGGCGGAAUGCGGCAAGUAGCGGUGAAAUGCACAGAUAUGCCGCAGAACACCGAUAGCGGAGGCAGCUGUCGAAUAUUUCUCUGACGCUGAAGCACGAAAGCGCAGGUAGCGAA